rnacentral:misc_RNA from 1 species
UCAAACUUGGUCAUUUAGAGGAAGUAAAAGUCGUAACAAGGUCUCCGUAGGUGAACCUGCGGAGGGAUCAUCAUAGAAAUCAAAUUUGAACAAAAGGUUGGCCUUUGUUUUUAGAGGGAAGGUCUCCUUUUGGGCAAACAAAACAAACAAUUUACAUGACUAGGAAAACAAAAAAGAUUGGCUUGGCUUGGGUUUUUGGUUGGAUACAACACAAAAGUUCUUGUCUGACAAGUGGCUUGCUGAUUUGGUGGAGCACAUAAUAAUUGAUACAACUUUCAACAACGGAUCUCUUGGCUCUCACAUCGAUGAAGAACGCAGC